rnacentral:rRNA from 1 species
GUGCCACCGCGGUAAUACGUAGGGGGCAAGCGUUGUCCGGAUUUAUUGGGCGUAAAGAGCGUGUAGGCGGCCAAGCAGGUCCGCUGUGAAAACUCGAGGCUCAACCUCGAGACGCCGGUGGAAACCGUAAAGCUAGAGUCCGGAAGAGGAGAGUGGAAUUCCUGGUGUAGCGGCGAAAUGCGCAGAUAUCAGGAGGAACACCCGUGGCGAAAGCGGCUCUCUGGGACGGUACUGACGCUGAGACGCGAAAGCGUGGGGAGCAAACAGG